UACAGAGGUCUCAAGCGUUGUUCGGAUUCAUUGGGCGUAAAGGGUGCGUAGGCGGCGCGGUAAGUCGGGUGUGAAAUCUUGGAGCUUAACUCCGAAACUGCAUUCGAUACUGCCGUGCUUGAGGACUGGAGAGGAGACUGGAAUUUACGGUGUAGCGGUGAAAUGCGUAGAUAUCGUAAGGAAGACCAGUGGCGAAGGCGAGUCUCUGGACAGUUCCUGACGCUGAGGCGCGAAAGCUAGGGGAGCAAACAGG
rnacentral:rRNA from 1 species